rnacentral:rRNA from 1 species
AUUGAACGCUGGCGGCAGGCCUAACACAUGCAAGUCGAGCGGAGCGACGGGCGGGCGGGUAAUACCUAGGUAUGUACCUGGUAGUGGGGGGUAGCGAUCGGCAACGGACGCUAACUCCUACCACUAUCCGUUAGGCCUAGGUGGGAUUAGCUAGUUGGUGGGGUAAUGGCUCACCAAGGCAACGAUCCGUAGCUGGUCUGAGAGGAUGAACAGCCACACUGGAACUGAGACACGGUCCAGACUCCUACGGGAGGCAGCAGUGGGGAAUAUUGGACAAUGGGCGAAAGCCUGAUCCAGCCAUGCCGCGUGUGUGAAGAAGGUCUUCGGAUUGUAAAGCACUUUAAGUGGGGAGGCGUUACCCACAGAAGAAGCACCGGCUAACUCCGUGCCAGCAGCCGCGGUAAUAC